rfam:Larimichthys crocea isolate SSNF unplaced genomic scaffold scaffold73, whole genome shotgun sequence.
UGUUCCCUUCUCUGUACGUCACUUUGGAUAAAAGCGUCUGCUAAAUGACUAAAU